GGGCGUUCAAGGAGGCAGCAGGCACGCAAUUACCCAAUGGUCGAAGACCGAGGUAGUGACGAAAAAUAACGAUACCGGACUCAUCCGAGGCCCGGUAAUCGGAAUGAGUACACUUUAAAUCCUUUAACGAGGAACAAUUGGAGGGCAAGUCUGGUGCCAGCAGCCGCGGUAAUUCCAGCUCCAAUAGCGUAUAUUAAAGUUGUUGCGGUUAAAAAGCUCGUAGUUGGAUCUCGGCAGGUAGGGGGCGGUUCGUUUCUGACGGCACUGCCCCAUUUACCUGUGUUUAUGCAAGAGGUCUCAAGGUGGCUUUAAUCGGCUGUCUUGGAACGCUUGCAGUUUUACUUUGAAAAAAUUAGAGUGCUCAAAGCAGGCUACAAAGCUUGAAUAUUUGUGCAUGGAAUAAUGGAAUAGGAAGUCGUUUCUAUUUUUUUGGUUUUCGGAAAUUGACUUAAUGAUUAAUAGGGACAGCCGGGGGCAUUAGUACUCAGACGACAGAGGUGAAAUUCUUGGACCGUUUGAGGACUAACUACUGCGAAAGCAUUUGCCAAGAGUGUUUUCAUUAAUCAAGAACGAAAGUUAGAGGUUCGAAGGCGAUCAGAUACCGCCCUAGUUCUAACCAUAAACAAUGCUGACUAGCGAUCCGUAGCUGUUUUCUAUGUAGGCUCUACGGGAAGCUUCCGGGAAACCAAAGUUUUUGAGUUCCGGGGGAAGUAUGGUUGCAAAGCUGAAACUUAAAGGAAUUGACGGAAGGGCACCACCAGGAGUGGAGCCUGCGGCUUAAUUUGACUCAACACGGGAAAUCUCACCAGGCCCGGACACUGGAAGGAUUGACAGAUUGAGAGCUCUUUCUCGAUUCAGUGGGUGGUGGUGCGUGGCCGUUCUUAGUUGGUGGAGUGAUUUGUCUGGUUAAUUCCGAUAACGAACGAGACUCUUUUCUGCUAAAUAGGUUUGCCGUCUUUUUUGCGGUAAACAUUCUUCUUAGAGAGACUGGCGGCGUCUAGCCGCACGAGAUUGAGCAAUAACAGGUCUGUGAUGCCCUUAGAUGUUCUGGGCUGCACACGCGCUACACUGAAUGGAUCAGCGUGUUUUCCCUUCCCGAGAGGGACGGGUAACCCGCUGAACCCCGUUCGUGGUAGGGAUCGGAGCUUGCAAUUAUUCUCCGUGAACCAGGAAUUCCCAGUAAGCGCAAGUCAUAAGCUUGCGUUGAUUACGUCCCUGCCCUUUGUACACACCGCCCGUCGCUACUACCGAUUGAACGUUUUAGUGAGAAAUCUGGAUUCGACCUCUGUGGGUUCAUUCCCNACAGUGCUGUCGGAGAGAGUUUUCAAACCUGAGCGUUAAAG
rnacentral:rRNA from 1 species